rnacentral:piRNA from 1 species
AAAGAUUGGGUGGACUGGGCUGUGG